GGGCCUAUAGCUCAAUGGCUAGAGCAUCGGAUUUGCAUUCCGAAGGUUUGGGGUUCAAAUCCCCAUGGGUCCACCG
rnacentral:tRNA from 5 species